rnacentral:rRNA from 1 species
UAGGGAAUAUUGGUAAUCUGCGAAAGCGGGAACCAGCAACGCCGCGUGUGCGAUGAAGGCCUUCGGGUUGUAAAGCACUUUUUGAGGGGAUGAGGUAGGACAGUACCUUCAGAAUAAGUCUCGGCUAACUACGUGCCAGCAGCCGCGGUAACACGUAGGAGACAAGCGUUAUCCGGAUUUACUGGGCGUAAAGCGCAUGCAGGCGGUUUGAUAAGUUGGAUGUGAAAGCUCCCGGCUUAACUGGGAGAGGUCGUUCAAUACUGUCGAACUAGAGGAUGGAAGAGGAAGGUGGAAUUCCGGGUGUAGUGGUGAAAUGCGUAGAUAUCCGGAGGAACACCAGUGGCGAAAGCGACCUUCUGGUCCAUAACUGACGCUCAUAUGCGAAAGCUAGGGUAGCAAACGGG